rnacentral:rRNA from 1 species
AGUCGCAACAAGGUCUCCGUUGGUGAACCAGCGGAGGGAUCAUUACCGAGUUUACAACUCCCAAACCCCUGUGAACAUACCACUUGUUGCCUCGGCGGAUCAGCCCGCUCCCGGUAAAACGGGACGGCCCGCCAGAGGACCCCUAAACUCUGUUUCUAUAUGUAACUUCUGAGUAAAACCAUAAAUAAAUCAAAACUUUCAACAACGGAUCUCUUGGUUCUGGCAUCGAUGAAGAACGCAGCAAAAUGCGAUAAGUAAUGUGAAUUGCAGAAUUCAGUGAAUCAUCGAAUCUUUGAACGCACAUUGCGCCCGCCAGUAUUCUGGCGGGCAUGCCUGUUCGAGCGUCAUUUCAACCCUCAAGCACAGCUUGGUGUUGGGACUCGCGUUAAUUCGCGUUCCCCAAAUUGAUUGGCGGUCACGUCGAGCUUCCAUAGCGUAGUAGUAAAACCCUCGUUACUGGUAAUCGUCGCGGCCACGCCGUUAAACCCCAACUUCUGAAUGUUGACCUCGGAUCAGGUAGGAAUACCCGCUGAACUUAAGCAUAUCAAUAAAAAGUCG